rnacentral:rRNA from 1 species
GCCCUAGUAACGGCGAGUGAAGCGGCAAUAGCUCAAAUUUGAAAGCUGGCCUUUGGUCCGCAUUGUAAUUUGUAGAGGAUGCUUUUAGGCAGCCGCCGGUCUAAGUUCCUUGGAACAGGACGUCAUAGAGGGUGAGAAUCCCGUAUGUGACCGGCUCAGGCACCUUCUGUAAGCUCCUUCGACGAGUCGAGUUGUUUGGGAAUGCAGCUCUAAAUGGGAGGUAAAUUUCUUCUAAAGCUAAAUACUGGCGAGAGACCGAUAGCGCACAAGUAGAGUGAUCGAAAGAUGAAAAGUACUUUGGAAAGAGAGUUAAAAAGCACGUGAAAUUGUUGAAAGGGAAGCGCUUGCAAUCAGACUUGGCCUCGGUUGUUCAACCGGUCUUUUGACCGGCCUAUUCAAUCGGGGGCAGGCCAGCAUCAGUUUCGGCGGCCGGAUAAAGGCCUUGGGAAUGUGGCCUCUCCUUCGGGGGAGGUGUUAUAGCCCAGGGUGUAAUACGGUCAGCUGGGACUGAGGUCCGCGCUUCGGCUAGGAUGCUGGCGUAAUGGUUGUAAGCGGCCCGUCUUGAAACACGGACCAAGGAGUCUAACAUCUAUGCGAGUGUUAGGGUGUCAAACCCUUACGCGUAAUGAAAGUGAACGGAGGUGGGAACCCGCAAGGGUGCACCAUCGACCGAUCCUGAUGUCUUCGGAUGGAUUUGAGUAAGAGCAUAGCUGUUGGGACCCGAAAGAUGGUGAACUAUGCCUGAAUAGGGUGAAGCCAGAGGAAACUCUGGUGGAGGCUCGCAGCGGUUCUGACGUGCAAAUCGAUCGUCAAAUUUGGGUAUAGGGGCGAAAGACUAAUCGAACCAUCUAGUAGCUGGUUCCUGCCGAAG